rnacentral:rRNA from 1 species
AGAGUUUGAGCCUGGCUCAGGAUGAACGCUAGCUACAGGCUUAACACAUGCAAGUCGAGGGGCAGCAUUUUAGUUUGCUUGCAAACUAAAGACGGCGACCGGCGCACGGGUGAGUAACACGUAUCCAACCUGCCGAUAACUCGGGGAUAGCCUUUCGAAAGAAAGAUUAAUAUCCGAUAGUAUAUUAAAACCGCAUGGUUUUACUAUUAAAGAAUUUCGGUUAUCGAUGGGGAUGCGUUCCAUUAGUUUGUUGGCGGGGUAACGGCCCACCAAGACUACGAUGGAUAGGGGUUCUGAGAGGAAGGUCCCCCACAUUGGAACUGAGACACGGUCCAAACUCCUACGGGAGGCAGCAGUGAGGAAUAUUGGUCAAUGGACGAGAGUCUGAACCAGCCAAGUAGCGUGAAGGAUGACUGCCCUAUGGGUUGUAAACUUCUUUUAUAUGGGAAUAAAGUAUUCCACGUGUGGGAUUUUGUAUGUACCAUAUGAAUAAGGAUCGGCUAACUCCGUGCCAGCAGCCGCGGUAAUACGGAGGAUCCGAGCGUUAUCCGGAUUUAUUGGGUUUAAAGGGAGCGUAGGUGGAUUGUUAAGUCAGUUGUGAAAGUUUGCGGCUCAACCGUAAAAUUGCAGUUGAAACUGGCAGUCUUGAGUACAGUAGAGGUGGGCGGAAUUCGUGGUGUAGCGGUGAAAUGCUUAGAUAUCACGAAGAACUCCGAUUGCGAAGGCAGCUCACUAGACUGCAACUGACACUGAUGCUCGAAAGUGUGGGUAUCAAACAGGAUUAGAUACCCUGGUAGUCCACACAGUAAACGAUGAAUACUCGCUGUUUGCGAUAUACAGUAAGCGGCCAAGCGAAAGCAUUAAGUAUUCCACCUGGGGAGUACGCCGGCAACGGUGAGACUCAAAGGAAUUGACGGGGGCCCGCACAAGCGGAGGAACAUGUGGUUUAAUUCGAUGAUACGCGAGGAACCUUACCCGGGCUUAAAUUGCAUUUGAAUAAUCUGGAAACAGGUUAGCCGCGAGGCAAAUGUGAAGGUGCUGCAUGGUUGUCGUCAGCUCGUGCCGUGAGGUGUCGGCUUAAGUGCCAUAACGAGCGCAACCCUUAUCUUUAGUUACUAACAGGUCAUGCUGAGGACUCUAGAGAGACUGCCGUCGUAAGAUGUGAGGAAGGUGGGGAUGACGUCAAAUCAGCACGGCCUUUACGUCCGGGGCUACACACGUGUUACAAUGGGGGGUACAGAAGGCAGCUACCUGGCGACAGGAUGCUAAUCCCAAAAACCUCUCUCAGUUCGGAUCGAAGUCUGCAACCCGACUUCGUGAAGCUGGAUUCGCUAGUAAUCGCGCAUCAGCCAUGGCGCGGUGAAUACGUUCCCGGGCCUUGUACACACCGCCCGUCAAGCCAUGAAAGCCGGGGGUACCUGAAGUACGUAACCGCAAGGAGCGUCCUAGGGUAAAACUGGUAAUUGGGGCUAAGUCGUAACAAGGUA